rnacentral:misc_RNA from 1 species
GAUGAAGAACGUAGUGAAAUGCGAUAAGUAAUGUGAAUUGCAGAAUUCAGUGAAUCAUCGAAUCUUUGAACGCACCUUGCGCUCCUUGGUAUUCCGAGGAGCAUGCCUGUUUGAGUGUCAUGAAAUUCUCAACCUUUUCAGCUUUCUUUGUUGAUCAGGCUUGGAUGUGGGAGUAUGCGGGCUUCUCAGAAGUCGGCUCUCCUGAAAUGCAUUAGCGGGACCUUUGUUGCCUGGCUUUGGUGUGAUAAUUAUCUACGCCAUUGUAGUCAAGCAGCUUAAAAUGAGGUUUCAGCUUCUAACCGUCUCCCCUGAGACAACUUUUUGACAAUUUGACCUCAAAUCAGGUAGGACUACCCGCUGAACUUAAGCAUAUCAAUAGCGGAGGA